UACGUAGGUGGCAAGCGUUGUCCGGAUUUAUUGGGUUUAAAGGGUGCGUAGGCGGUUUUCUAAGUCAGUGGUGAAAGGCAGCAGCUCAACUGUUAGCACUGCCAUUGAUACUGGAGAACUUGAGUACAGACGAGGUAGGCGGAAUUUAUGGUGUAGCGGUGAAAUGCAUAGAUACCAUAAAGAACACCGAUUGCGAAGGCAGCUUACUAGGCUGUAACUGACGCUGAGGCACGAAAGCGUGGGGAUCGAACAGG
rnacentral:rRNA from 1 species